GAUGAACGCUGGCGGCGUGGAUAAGGCAUGCAAGUCGAACGAGAUCUUCGGAUCUAGUGGCAGACGGGUGAGGAACACGUGGGAACAUCCCUUUCAGUUCGGAAUAACGUUGGGAAACUAACGCUAAUACCGGAUACGUCCUUCGGGAGAAAGAUUUAUCGCUGAAAGAUUGGCCCGCGUCUGAUUAGCUAGUUGGUGAGGUAACGGCUCACCAAGGCUACGAUCAGUAGCUGAUCUGAGAGGAUGAUCAGCCACAUUGGGACUGAGACACGGCCCAAACGCCUACGGGAGGCAGCAGUGGGGAAUAUUGGACAAUGGGCGCAAGCCUGAUCCAGCCAUGCCGCGUGAGUGAUGACGGCCUUCGGGUUGUAAAGCUCUUCUGUCCGGGAAGAUAAUGACUGUACCGGAAGAAUAAGCCCCGGCAAACUUCGUGCCAGCAGCCGCCGUAA
rnacentral:rRNA from 1 species